rnacentral:tRNA from 2 species
GGACAGGUAGCUCAGCUGGUAGAGCGAAGGACUGAAAAUCCUUAGGUCGCCGGUUCAACCCCGGCCCUGUCCA